CGCGUAGGCGGCGCGAUAAGUUGGGCGUGAAAGGCCCGGGCUCAACCCGGGGACUGCGCUUGAUACUGUCGCGCUGUGAGUCCGGGAGAGGAUGGCGGAAUUCCCAGUGUAGAGGUGAAAUUCGUAGAUAUUGGGAAGAACACCGGUGGCGAAGGCGGCCAUCUGGACCGGCACUGACGCUGAGGCGCGAAAGCGUGGGGAGCAAACAGGAUUAGAUACCCUGGUAGUCCACGCCGUAAACGAUGCGUGCUAGACGUUGGGGGGCUUGCCCUUCGGUGUCGUCGCUAACGCAUGAAGCACGCCGCCUGGGGAGUACGGUCGCAAGAUUAAA
rnacentral:rRNA from 1 species